AUGGCGGCAGCUACACAUGCAGUCGAGCGGCAGCGGGUCCUUCGGGAUGCCGGCGAGCGGCGGACGGGUGAGUAAUGCCUAGGAAUCUGCCUGGUAGUGGGGGAUAACGUUCGGAAACGGACGCUAAUACCGCAUACGUCCUACGGGAGAAAGUGGGGGAUCUUCGGACCUCACGCUAUCAGAUGAGCCUAGGUCGGAUUAGCUAGUUGGUGGGGUAAAGGCUCACCAAGGCGACGAUCCGUAACUGGUCUGAGAGGAUGAUCAGUCACACUGGAACUGAGACACGGUCCAGACUCCUACGGGAGGCAGCAGUGGGGAAUAUUGGACAAUGGGCGAAAGCCUGAUCCAGCCAUGCCGCGUGUGUGAAGAAGGUCUUCGGAUUGUAAAGCACUUUAAGUUGGGAGGAAGGGCAGUAAGUUAAUACCUUGCUGUUUUGACGUUACCAACAGAAUAAGCACCGGCUAACUUCGUGCCAGCAGCCGCGGUAAUACGAAGGGUGCAAGCGUUAAUCGGAAUUACUGGGCGUAAAGCGCGCGUAGGUGGUUCAGCAAGUUGGAGGUGAAAUCCCCGGGCUCAACCUGGGAACUGCCUCCAAAACUACUGAGCUAGAGUACGGUAGAGGGUAGUGGAAUUUCCUGUGUAGCGGUGAAAUGCGUAGAUAUAGGAAGGAACACCAGUGGCGAAGGCGACUACCUGGACUGAUACUGACACUGAGGUGCGAAAGCGUGGGGAGCAAACAGGAUUAGAUACCCUGGUAGUCCACGCCGUAAACGAUGUCGACUAGCCGUUGGGAUCCUUGAGAUCUUAGUGGCGCAGCUAACGCGAUAAGUCGACCGCCUGGGGAGUACGGCCGCAAGGUUAAACAGAAGUAUAUAUGUGA
rnacentral:rRNA from 1 species